GGUCCUAUCGACUAGUGGUUAGGUCGUCACCCUUUCACGGUGGAGACAGGAGUUCAAUUCUCCUUAGGACUA
rnacentral:tRNA from 1 species